ACCACACGACGGGUUUGUGGGUAAACAACAGCUGUGCUCGUGGCACACGCCAUCUUGACGCCGUGCCGUCGAUUCGCGCUUCGACACCUGGCCCCGCGAGGGCUCCACGCGCUCUCCGUCCCCGGAGCAGCGCACUGCCUCCGCGUGCACGAUGACAACGACGUCGGGAACGAUGGGAACACAACACGGGAUGGCCGACGAGAGACGGAAGCGAGGAACUUUCUCUCUCUCUCUCUCUCUCUCUCUUUCUCUUGCAGAGAAGGAGGACGAUCGUCGCGCGAGGCCGCGUUUGUUAUAGACUUCGAUUAGACGCGAGCGGAUUACCGUGAGCCGCGAUCCGCGUCAGCUGCGACGAUCUCUCUGCCUACCCCGGGGAUGAGAUCACCCGCCUAGGCGCUACAUCAUGAAAUCACGCGACGUAUACCACGUACGAAACGACACAGCGUGAUGGGGGAUCGAUCGACGUCUCGCGUCAGGGCCGGACACUCUGACACUGGUGAGGUGACUGGACCUCCCCGACCUCCCACUCCGCUCCCGCACGGUUCAGCUUUGGCUCCGCUCCCGCUCCGCUCUGCUCCGCUCCUGUCCCGUCUGCUCUCCGUUGUGCUCGCAGAGCACUAAUCAGGUGCGCCGCGCAUCACCGGAUACAAGUUGAUAUAGCUGUGUGUGCGUGAAAAGUGCCGUGCGACGCCUCGCGGCGAGAUCGGCGUCACACGUGCGCAGUUGCAAUUGGCAAAAGGCGCGAAAUGACCUCGCUUCCCGGAAAUUUCGCUGCGCUACCACGAAAUCCCGGUGCUCGGGACUCAUCGGGUUCUCAAUAUCUCGAGAGCCACCCCGUCAGCUUGUCGAAAUGUCUUUCGAAACUCCGACUUGGAUUCGCUGCGUGUUAUAGAUAGAAAGCCGUUCUUUGAUCUUCGCGAGAGAGGAGAGCAACGAGAGAGAGAGACCAAGUAUUUCGCAGCGGAAAACAUGGUAUGCUUCUUCAAACAACGGAACUAACUUAGAAUUAAUGGUGGCAAAGGGUGGGUGGAAGGUUUUUGGAGUGAUUCGAUCCACCUGGACAGACAUAAACAGAGUGGAUGACUGCGAAGACGGCGCUCGCGACUCCGAGUGGAUCCACCUGGUCUCUGUGUUAUUUUACGGAAUCGUUAUCAAGUCGAAAGUCUGAUUGUAAGAGCGAGAAAUACAUAGUUUGGAAAUAACUCACUUGGAUCCCCGAUUUAAAUCAGGAUGGAUACUUACCAAAGCCAGAGACAAAGAUUUGGUGGUUUCAGUAUGCGCGUCUCCAUCAUCUCGAAGUACUGCUCGC